rnacentral:tRNA from 1 species
GCGGAUGUAAUUCAGUGGUAGAAUGCCACCUUCCCAAGGUGGACGUCGCGGGUUCGAGCCCCGUCUUCCGCU